CCCACACUCUUGCUAUUUAGCCUGCUUACCUAAUACAUUAUUAGUUCGAUAUAUAUCUUGGAAUCUGCCAUGUGCAAGUCUCUGUGCUGUGAAGGAGAAAAAGCAUUUUCCCACAACGGAUCUACCAGAAGAGAGGACAAAUAUACAGAAAACUACAAGAUGUGAUAGAAAGGGACACUAAUAUCAAAGAGACAAGCAGGGGAGGAGCUGUUCCUUCUGGCCGGGGGAUUCCCAGAGGAUCUCACAUGGAGGUAAAUAUUGGGACGAGGCAGUUCUAAAGGUCAGAUAUUUGCAGCGUGAGCCAGGGUGUGUGUGUGGGUGGUGAGGAUAGGGAAGGCACUCCGGGGAAGGCAGAGGUUGGGGAUUUGUUGAGGCAUGCAUGGGGAAAUGAAAGUUUUCCUUAGCUGGACCAUGGGACAUAUGAACAGAACAGUGGACAAAGAUACUGAGGGACAGAUGAGCUCUGAGGACGGCCAAUCAGCCUCAGGAUUUUAUUUUCAGGGCAUCCCGUGUGGCUCAGCGGUUUAGCGCCACCUUCAGCCAAGGGUGGGAUCCUGGAGACCUGGGAUCGAGUUCCACAUCGGGCUCCCUGCAUGGAGCUUGCUUCUCCCUCUGCCUGUAUCUCUGCCUCUCUUUGUGUCUCUCAUGAAUAAAUAAAUAAAAUAUUUUUAAAAAGAUUUUAUU
rnacentral:lncRNA from 12 species